UCAUCUUCAACUUUCCAAGGUCAUAACUUGAGCUACGGAACUCCGAUCGUUGCACCGUUUGCGGCCACGCGAUUAAAACGAAGAGUUCUACAAAAUCCAUCCAAAAGAUUGGAUCAAUCUAACUUGAGGAGAUUAUUGGGUUGUGAUCCUAUGAUAUUUGGAGAAGGUCGCAACCCACCUCGAUGAGUUACUUGAUGGUGACAGAGCGGAGGAUCUUU